rnacentral:tRNA from 1 species
GCCUUCGUGGUGUAGUGGUCAGCACGCUCGACGCGUAACCGAGAGGUCCGUGGUUCGAUUCCCGGCGAUGGCA